rnacentral:rRNA from 1 species
CCUACGGGAGGCAGCAGUGAGGAAUAUUGGUCAAUGGACGAGAGUCUGAACCAGCCAAGUCGCGUGAAGGAUGACUGCCCUAUGGGUUGUAAACUUCUUUUAUAAAGGAAUAAAACGCGGCACGUGUGCCUUUUUGCAUGUACUUUAUGAAUAAGGAUCGGCUAAAUCCGGGCCAGCAGCCGCGGUAAUACGGAGGAUCCGAGCGUUAUCCGGAUUUAUUGGGUUUAAAGGGAGCGUAGAUGGGUUGUUAAGUAAGGUGUGAAAGUUUGCGGCUCAACCGUAAAAUUGCAAUUGAUACUGGCAGGCUAGAGUACAGUUGAGGUAGGCGGAAUUCGUGGUGUAGCGGUGAAAUGCUUAGAUAUCACGAAGAACCACGAUGGCGAAGGCAGCUUACUAAACUGUGACUGACAUUGAUGCUCGAAAGUGUGGGUAGCAAACAGGAUUAGAUACCCUUGUAGUC